UAAGGAUUCUGAUUGGGAAGUUAGUCCGUUAGCUGAAAACUUUUGUUGGAAAAGGAUUGCAGAACCAGUGAUGAAACUAUAUACUGAGGCCACCGAUGGCUCAUACAUUGAGACCAAGGACAGUGCGUUGGUAUGGCACCAUCAAGACGCUGACCCUUAUUUUGGUUCAUGUCAGGCCAUGGAGCUUUUGGACCACCUUGAAAAUGUCCUUGCCAAUG
rnacentral:misc_RNA from 1 species